GACGUUGUGACCUGUCAAUAAAUAUUCUAAGUAUUUGGCUAUUAUGUCUGUUCUAAGUUAUACCGUUAAGGUAUUUUCUUUAAAACAGUUUUAGCCGUUUUAUAUACUGGAUAAAAUUGACAGUAACGAAUUAUGGUGUUGAGCCACAUGAAAUUAUAUAUAUGUAAAAAUAUAUAUAAUGGAAAGUGUCCUAAAAUAUGGCUGUUUGCAAGUGGGUUGGUAAAAAAUAGUUUCAAUUCGGAUUUUUAACCGGUUAACUAUUCCGCCUACUGUUGGUAAACUGUUCCUAGGACUGUGCUUAUUAUCACCGGUCGGCAGCGAUUCAGGUUCAGGCUCUUAUCCGACCCGUCUUGAAACACGGACCAAGGAGUUUAGCGUGUACGCAAGUCAUUGGGCCUAUAAACCCAUAGGCAAAAUGAAAGUAAAGAGUUGGAGUUUUGUAAAUUUUUACAUUCUCUACUUUAGGGAAGAUGGAAAAUAUUGUGCAGCAAUGUAUAAGAUUUUCCCGCAUUCCCAGGGCGCUUGAUUCUUGCUUUGCAAGUCAAUGCGCACCUAUAGCGUACACGCUGAUACCCGAAAGAUGGUGAACUAUGCCUGGCCAGGACGAAGCCAGGGGAAACCCUGGUGGAGGUCCGCAGCGAUUCUGACGUGCAAAUCGAUCGUCGGAGCUGGGUAUAGGGGCGAAUAGACCAAUCGAACCAUCUAGUAGCUGGUUCCCUCUGAAGUUUCCCUCAGGAUAGCUUGCACUCGGUUGAGACGAGUCUCAUCCGGUAGAGCGAAUGAUUAGAGGCAUUGGGGUCGAAACGACCUCAACCUAUUCUCAAACUCCAAAUAGAUGAGAUCCCCGGCUUUCUUAAAAGUGAAGCCGUGGGAAUAGGAUCAGAGUGCCAAGUGGGCCAAUUUUGGUAAGCAGAACUGGCGCUGUGGGAUGAACCAAACGCAGAGUUAAGGCGCCUAAAUUGACGCUCAUGUGAAACCAUGAAAGGCGUUGGUUGCUUAAGACAGCAGGACGGUGGCCAUGGAAGUUGGAAUCCGCUAAGGAGUGUGUAACAACUCACCUGCCGAAGCAACUAGCCCUGAAAAUGGAUGGCGCUGUAGCGUCGUGCCUAUACUCUGCCGUCAAUGACAAAGAUGAUUAAUAAGCUGUGUGUUAAUUAAUGUUGUAGUCUUGACUGCAGUAUUGUUAAUUACAAAGUUUAUUACUAUAUCAUCAUUAUGUCUUGAUGAGUAAGAGGGCCGCGGCGAUGAGCGCAGAAGGGUCUGGGCGAGAGCCCGCC
rnacentral:ncRNA from 1 species